CCCAUUACAGGAAGGAUGUGGAAGCAUUGGAAAAGGUGCAGACGAGAUUUACCAGGAUGUUGCCUGGUCUGGAGCGCCGGCCCUAUGAAGAAAGGCUGAAGGACUUGGGCCUGUUCUCAUUGGAGAGAAGGAGGUUCUACCCAAACAACUUCACUGGAUGAUCCCCCAGGAAUAUCCUCUCUUACCCUUAAAUGCAUCAACCUCUUCCAUCUCAACUACUCCAAAGGGGAACCAGUCCCACAUUCUCCCUGAACGAGAAAACCAAAGAACUGCCGAUGCUGGAACUCAGAAACAAAAACAGAAAUUGCUGGAAAAAACUCAGCAGGCCUGUGGAGAGAAAACAGUUACUGAAAUGUAAGAAGAAGGGCCUUGACCCGAAAUGUCAGCCUUCCUGCUCCUCUGAUGCUGCUUGGCCUGCUGUGUUCAUCUAGCUUCACACCGUUUUAUCUCAGAUUCUCCAGCAUUGGUAAUUCCUAGUAUCUCUUACUGAAAUGUAAUUCUGCUUUCUUUGCACACAUGUUGCCAGACCUGUUGAGUUUUCCCAGCAAUUUCUAUCUC